rnacentral:rRNA from 1 species
GAUGAAUGCUGGCGGCGUGCCUAAUACAUGCAAGUCGAGCGAACAGAUAAGGAGCUUGCUCCUUUGACGUUAGCGGCGGACGGGUGAGUAACACGUGGAUAACCUACCUAUAAGACUGGGAUAACUUCGGGAAACCGGAGCUAAUACCGGAUAACAUAUUGAACCGCAUGGUUCAAUAGUGAAAGGCGGCUUUGCUGUCACUUAUAGAUGGAUCCGCGCCGUAUUAGCUAGUUGGUAAGGUAACGGCUUACCAAGGCAACGAUACGUAGCCGACCUGAGAGGGUGAUCGGCCACACUGGAACUGAGACACGGUCCAGACUCCUACGGGAGGCAGCAGUAGGGAAUCUUCCGCAAUGGGCGAAAGCCUGACGGAGCAACGCCGCGUGAGUGAUGAAGGUCUUCGGAUCGUAAAACUCUGUUAUCAGGGAAGAACAAAUGUGUAAGUAACUGUGCACAUCUUGACGGUACCUGAUCAGAAAGCCACGGCUAACUACGUG